rnacentral:rRNA from 1 species
GUAUUGGACUACCAUGGCAGUCACGGGUAACGGAGAAUUAGGGUUCGAUUCCGGAGAGGGAGCCUGAGAAACGGCUACCACAUCUACGGAAGGCAGCAGGCGCGCAAAUUGCCCAAUCCUGACACGGGGAGGCAGUGACAAGAAAUAACAACUCUAGGAUUUCUUAGAAGUGUAAUGAGGAUAAUUUACAAACCUUACCGAAUGCAAUUGGAGGGCAAGUCUGGUGCCAGCAGCCGCGGUAAUUCCAGCUCCAAUAGCGUAUAUUAAAGUUGUUGCAGUUAAAAAGCUCGUAGUUGAAGUUCUGAUUGCUCAGGUUUCCAGCCUUAGGCGGAGAUACUGACAGUCAUCCGCUUGCAAACAUAUGUUCGAUCUUCACCGGUUGGCUAUGUGAGUAAGCACUUUACCUUGAGAAAAACAGAGUGUUCCAGGCAGGUUUGUCCGGGAUGCAUUAGCAUGGAAUAAUAGAACAUGACUGAAGUCG